UACGUAGGGGGCAAGCGUUGUCCGGAAUCAUUGGGGCGUAAAGAGCGUGUAGGCGGCUCGAUAAGUCUGCUGUGAAAGUCCAGGGCUCAACCCUGGAAGGCCGGUGGAAACUGUCGGGCUAGAGUCCGGAAGAGGCGAGUGGAAUUCCCGGUGUAGCGGUGAAAUGCGCAGAUAUCGGGAGGAACACCAAUGGCGAAGGCAGCUCGCUGGGGACGGUACUGACGCUGAGACGCGAAAGCGUGGGGAGCAAACAGG
rnacentral:rRNA from 1 species